rnacentral:rRNA from 1 species
UAGUCCCUACGGGACGCAGCAGUGGGGAAUAUUGCACAAUGGGGGAAACCCUGAUGCAGCGACGCCGCGUGAGUGAAGAAGUAUUUCGGUAUGUAAAGCUCUAUCAGCAGGGAAGAAGAAAGACGGUACCUGACUAAGGAGCCCCGGCUAACUACGUGCCAGCAGCCGCGGUAAUACGUAGGGGGCAAGCGUUAUCCGGAUUUACUGGGUGUAAAGGGAGCGCAGGCGGCACGGCAAGCCUGAUGUGAAAGCCCGCGGCCCAACCGCGGGACUGCAUUGGGAACUACCGGGCUGGAGUGCCGGAG